UGAGGAAUAUUGGUCAAUGGUCUGACGACUGAACCAGCCAUGCCGCGUGAAGGUCACGGCCCUCUGGGUCUUAAACUUCUUUUGCGAGGGAGCAAUAAGGUCUACGUGUAGGCCGAUGAGAGUACCUCGCGAAUAAGCAUCGGCUAACUCCGUGCCAGCAGCCGCGGUAAUACGGGGGAUGCGAGCGUUAUCCGGAUUUAUUGGGUUUAAAGGGUGCGUAGGCGGCCUGUUAAGUCAGCGGUGAAAUUCAGGGGCUCAACCUCUGCCGUGCCGUUGAUACUGGCAAGCUGGAAUGCGGAUGCCGUGGGAGGAAUGUGUGGUGUAGCGGUGAAAUGCAUAGAUAUCACACAGAACACCGAUUGCGAAGGCAUCUCACGAAUCCGCUAUUGACGCUGAUGCACGAAAGCGUGGGGAUCAAACAGG
rnacentral:rRNA from 1 species